UGUGUGUGUGUGUGUGUGUGUGGCGUUGUGUGAGAGUGGAGAGAGAUCUUGUAUAUUAUGAACAGGUAAAAUAUGUGGUUAUGGUGGACGGUGGAGCAGCACUUUAAACAGAAACGAUGUUGAUGAUUGUGGUUUGUAUAUGUUGAUUACUGUCGCAAAUCAUGUAGUUAGAAAGUGUUUUACUUUGUGGCCUUACCAUUUAACUCCAUUGGCUUUUGGGUCCCAUAUUUGUCAUUUGCCUGAUUGGCUUUAGACUUAAAA
rnacentral:misc_RNA from 1 species